rnacentral:lncRNA from 1 species
CAGGUGGCGAGUGGCGGCUGAAGUAUGAGCGGGCUGUGCGGGAGGUGGACUUCACCAAGAAACGGCUCCAGCAGGAGUUUGAGGACAAGCUGGAGGUGGAGCAGCAGAACAAGAGGCAGCUGGAACGGCGGGUGAGGCUGGGGAGGAGCUGAGGCCUGUGCCUGGGAGGGCCAGGAGAGGACUGGUGCCUUGUGUCGGUCCAGUGAACUCUGGGGGCAGGCAGGCCUGGCUGGAAUGGAUCGGGGAGGCUGGCAUGUUAGCUUCUUGGUGCAGGGGCAAUCAGGAGCAAGCUAUCAUUAGAGCUUCUUCAGUUCCCUGGGAGACCCGACUUCCUCCUGCAUCCCUGGGUCUUCCCCUCACUCACCCACUUCCCUCUCCUCACCUUCUCCACCUAUGCUUCUGGGUCUCUCUGUAUAUGCACCCCAUCUUGGCCCCUAGCUCGGGGACCUGCAGGCAGACGGAGAAGCUGCAGGACUGUCCCCACCCCAGCUGCCUCUCUGUGGGCCUAUGCCAGACCUCUAGUAAGGGAGUUCAGCUGCUCU